UGGUGGAGUGAUUUGUCUGGUUAAUUCCGUUAACGAACGAGACCUCGACCUGCUAAAUAGUUCGGCGAAUCUUUUUGAUUCGUACGUUUGACUUCUUAGAGGGACUAUCGGUGGUUCAGCCGAUGGAAGUUCGAGGCAAUAACA
rnacentral:rRNA from 1 species